rnacentral:lncRNA from 1 species
UGUUGCUCAUCAAACACCCCAGCUGUCCUCAGUAACGUUGCUGCUGUCAGCCAGCCAGUAACCUCUGCUCUGGCCAUCAAACAUCACCACUAAAAGUUCAAGACAGAAUGGAAUAAACUGAGACACGGAGCCACAACUAAACCUGGAGUCAGGCAGUGCAAAAGAGCUGGAAUGAGCCCCAGAUACCAGUCCUUGGACCACCCAGUGGAAAAAGAGAGUCAGUUGGCUGCCAGCA